UGCCAGAUUCGGGGCACAUGGGCAU
rnacentral:piRNA from 1 species